rnacentral:lncRNA from 1 species
AAAAAGCCAACAACUACAAUCCAAUUACCGUUUUAAUGAGUUAAAGCAUCGCCAUCUUUCCCAGUGGACGAUAAAACUGCAGUUAGUAUCAGUACAUUCAAGGGCCAAGUCAUCGCAAGGCUCACCGCAACAAUCGCAUGCCUGCGGACGAUAAUCCCCUGUCUUGUCGACCAAAGCAAGAGGGUGAGGGUGAUUAGGAUAUGUUAGAACCCCCCCUCGCUUGAAAUAUGGGUAUUUCCCGAGAGCACAUUCAGGAUGAGCAUCGAAGUCGCAUUGCUCACAACGGUAGAACCAGAGCUUCGGGUCUCUAUCUUUUUCACAAAUUAAGCAGGAAGGCUGGUAGUCAUUUUCAUUAAUGUAGGUGAGGAAGAGAGGAUGGUCAUCAUACUCGUGUCUUGCUUUGUAUGGCAGUGUAGCACAUUUCAUACCCAGCUUGAAAUCGCAAACCGCACAUUUAAAAAAUACCUUUGAUUCUUCACUGACACAACAGCCACUGCAAUGGGGAAUAAUCUCUCCGUCCGCUGCAAGCAAAGGGGGAAUCCCGCGACCUCCAAUAUUGCAACGGAGAAUAUUCUUUCUGCCCGCUGGAAGAUAAAGGGGAUGCUCAUGACCUCCAUGUUUAGUGGAAUCUUUCAAUGAUUUGAAGCAUCGGACAUCAAUGCAGAGUCGACAUACAUCACAUAUGUACCUGAGCCCACUAAAAAGUUGACGACACACAUCACAGUAGCACAGAUCAUGUGCCCCUUGGAUCCAUGAAAGAAUCAGUUGGUUUUCGUGAUAUUGCCACUUUUUUUACCUGGAUAAUUCUAUGCAGGUUUUGUCGAGAAAGAAAUUACAACUUGCACAACUAUAAAAUGGAGUUGAGAUUGGUAACAGGCACCCAUCACACUUUAAAUCAUCAUCAACCUUGUCAAUAAGGAUUAGGUUAUGUUGAUGACUGAAAUGGUCGAUCUCUUCAAUUAUUCUCUCCUCUCCAUGCUUGAUUUCACGGACAACGCGAAAGCUAGGUUCCAUGAAUUGAUCAUCAGCGGUCACACUUUGCUCUUCUUCGUUUUCUUCUACAAUCUCUGUUGCAGAAUCGCCAUAUUCUCUACUACAAUUCACGUGUGCAACGAAGUCACAGUCUGGGCAAUAGUAAACUCCGUAUUCUGUGUCAACUUCCCGACAGCAAAUUCCACAGUACUUCUUUAUAGAUUUGAUACAUUGUUGAGGAUGAUAGGUGUGGAUGAUUUGGGGAUGAUGGUGCAGUGCCGUUUUAAGGGUGCGUGGCAAUGAAAUGCAUUUUCGUGGACCAGAGUUGGCACAUAGUGCAAAAUGGGAGUCAUCUCCAUCUGUGCCACAUGCAUUGCAAGUGAAGGAGAUUGAUUUUAAUGAGAGUGGAUUCAGUAGGCGUCUAAAUUGAUGCCUUUGAUCUGAUCAGCUGCAUAAAUGCACGGUGGAAAAGCACAUUUGAUAUGGAGGUUGAAUUCGCACACAAAAAAAGUAAACAAAACUCUCAUAGCAAGUUUCGUUGCAAAAAUCACAGAUCAUAUCAUGAUUUGGCAGUAGACAAAGAGGGUGUUCUGGAUGCAAAUGCUGCUUGAUCUCUGGGGGUAGCUCAGCACACUUCUUGUGAAGAAAGGAGUUGCAAGAAGUGCAACUAUAGCUAGGACCCGACAUUGGUUCCUUGCAAACAGAGCACUUAACUCCUUCACCAUAAUAUUCUUUCUCUCCAUUCAAAAUCAAUGGAUGAUCCUUGUGGGCAAAUUGAUGUGCCGGACUAUCAACUUCCAAAAAACCCGGUUGAAAAGCACAUUUGAUAUCAAGAUCAAAUUUACACAAAGAACAAUGGUAAACAAAACUGUUGCAAGUUUUGUCGCACCGAUUACAAACGCAUUUGACAUUAUAUUGUCGAUACGGUGGCUUUGGCAGUAGAUGUAAAGGGUGUCUACGAUGAAUGCGCCGCUUGAUCUCACGGGGCAGCUCGGCGCAUUUCUUAUGAAGAAAGAAGUAGCAAGAGGUGCAACUGUAGCAAGGACCCCAUAUUGGUCCCUCGCAUCCAGAGCAAAUAACUAGUUCACAACUAUACUCGAGAACUUGAUUAAUGAGGAUCAAUGGAUGAUCUGGGUGGCUAAAAUGUUCAACCUCCAUGUCUCUGGCUCUCUCAGAGGACAGAGCAGGAAAUGAGGGUUGUUGAGCCAAGGCAAGACUUAGGUAGGCCAGAUUGAAGCUGCCGAAUAUAUAUGUUAUCGAAAUGGAAAGGCAAAUAAAAGUUGAGUGCUACUAGAAUUCAAUACCUCACCUUCUGAACUGAAACUUGACCUCUUCACCGACGACGGCUAAUUAAAUAAUUACAGCUGCUUACUGCUACAUUACAGAUCAACCAACAAGAUCCAGAACACUGUGAUUUCCCAUUAAGAUCGGAUAUCAAUCAAUUGCUGGGGAAGCGUUUUCUUCCUUCUUCCCAUUUAUCAAAGAUAGCCGAAACGAAAAAUAAUUCAAAGGACUUAAAAUUCAAAGAGGCCCAAAAAGAAAGGAAGGGUGUUAGCUGUAAGGAAGAGGUGGGAAGAAGAUCAUGAGGAAAUCUACAAGCUCCUCUAUUCGUACGGAUGAUAUUGUUCAAGCAUGUGAAUAAGAAGACACUUUUCCAUGUCUUUUCUGGUUGGAUAAGAAGACUCGUUGACUUGAGUUGGGCUCCUCAACUUCUUAUAUUACUCAUUUGCCCAUGGAUAGCGGUUUAAAAUUGCUUUCUAAACGGUAUUUUUAAUAAAAAAAUAUUUAAAAUUAAGUUUUUUGUAUUUUUAAAUAUGUUAAUAUUAAAAAUAAUAUUUAAAAAAUAAAAACAUUUAUUUUAAUAUUUUUUCAAAUAAAAAAAGUAUUUUAAAAAAUAACUACUAACACCCUUCUAAACUUUUUCCAAGUAGAGGUAAUUCAAAUUAAAAAUCUAAUGAUAAAAUCCUUUAAUUAUUAAAAUCAUAAAUUAAUAAUUACAUGUAUAUAUAAUUAACAUAUUUUAUCUAAAUCUCAAAUACGUCUUUUUUUUUUCUAUCAUAACGAAACUAUAUCAAUUAAUAAAUUUAUAAAUGUUAACUAUACUUUAUAGUUUAAUUUUUAUAAUAAAAUGAUUUUACUCUUAAUAACCUAGAAAUGUGAAACAAAUACAUAAUUAACUAAACUUAUGAUAUUUCAUUUAAAUUAACUAAAAUAUUUUAAGCAAAUUGCACAUAACGUAGAAGUUUAAUGUUAUAUAUUCUGCCUUUUAUUGAAUAACUUAACUAAAAAUUAAAGAUAUAAUUAAUUGAUAUAAUUACACUUAUAAAAGACUUAUUAGAAAUAAUCUUUACGAUAUAAGGAAAUAUGAGGUACUUAUCAUGAGUAAGUGAUAUUUUUUAUAUCAAAAUAAAUUUGUGAAGGUCGUGUGACUUCUUUGUUAAUUUGAAUGGAAAAAAUAAACAGAACAUGUUAGAAAAAAUCAUUUAUCUUGGAAUUAAAUUAUAUAAUUAGAGAUAUAAAGAGAAAUUAAAAACACAUUCUCUUAUACAAGGAUUCAUUAAUUAAACCAUUUCUCCUUAAAAAACCUCCGACCUCAAAGUCUCCAUUGUCAUUCCUAUUUCGUUUUCUAGAUUUUAUAACGAAGAGAGGGAUGGGGAAAGGAAGAAGAUCAUGUGUGUGUUUCCUUCCCAAAUUAAUCACAGGUUUUUAGAAUUUAUAUAAACAAAUGUCUUUAUUAUAUUAUAAUAAGAAAAUGUCUGAUGAGGUAAAUUUUGUCUGGUAUGUGGUUAUUCUUUUUUGGUAUACGAUGGAUUUGGAGGAGAAAUAUUUUAGCUUUUAAGAAGGAGUAUUUAGGGGAUAACCAAUUGUUACGUUAAAUUUACUUUCUAAAAGAUGUGUUUAGCGAUACUUAAAAUAAUUCAACUAUUAUGCGUACGCACUUUACUACUAUCUCAUGACUUAAGCUUGAAGAAGAAUUUAUUAAACUAGAUGUGAAUGACACCUUUCUUCGGAACCCGGGGAGAAUUGGAUUUGGGGUCUCAUAGGAAAUUUUGAAGGGAGAUAGUUGAUGGGUUGUAUGAGUUAUAGAGGUUUUGAUUUUAAUCUACUUCUAGAAUUACUAGGAAUUAAAUAUUGUUUAUCGGUAACAUGAGAUAGAGAUUACAAAAAUAUCAUAUGCAACUCUGAUUCUAUAGAAGUUAUUCAAUUGAUUUAUAAUGAUUUUAACAACUAUCAUUUAUUCGAACUUGUUAUUUUUUACAUUAAAGAGCUCCUAACACGAAAUUAAAAAGUUCGUUUGUUUUAUACUUUGCGUGAAGCUAAUUCAUGUGCUUAUUAUAGAGCUAAACUUGCAGCUACAAGUGACUCUAAUUUAUAUAUUUGGGAGAACCCUCCUCCAAGAGUUUGUCCUUUAUUAUUAUUUGAUUCUCCAAGUUUUGUUUAUCUUAGAGCAUCAUAGUUUUUUCUUUUUUCUUUCCACUGUACCAAAAAAAAAAAUAUCUUUAUUAUAUUCAUCAUGUCCAUAUAAUAAUUUGACAGUGAAUACACAGUAAAGUAUGAAUUCAUUAAGAUUCACCCUCUCGUAUUUUUUAUGUCAUAUUUCAUCAUGUUCAUUAACUACAAACAAUUAAAUUCAGAUUAAGUAGAUAUAAUUUAUACACAUAUAUAAAAAUAACAACUUACAAGCUAUGAGUAAGCCAACUUUACCAAAUAUUUGAAUUUUAAAGAAACUUGAGUCAUGUAUAUCAAGAAAUCUGAUGCCUGGUCUUAAUAAGUACACAGCUCAUUUUAUUAUCAAUUAUAGCUCCUUCUAGCAGAGCUAUUUUCCAAUUUCAUUUUCCCAAUUACAGUUAAGAGGGUAUUCAAACCUUUUCUCAAACAUGUUUGAAAUUCUCUUAAUGAAUUCAAUUUUGAGAUUUCAAUAAAAUUUCAUGUUUGGAAUAUUUGAAGUAUUGAGAAUUGAAUUUCAAAUGAAAAUUCAUUCUCAAAAUUUUUUAAGUAUUAUAAAUUUGCGUCAUGCAUACAAUCUUAGGAUUGAGAGGAAGGAUGAAAGGCUGACAACCAUAGCAGUAGAAAAUUUCCUGACACCAAAUUAACAAGAAGUUACUGUGUAUUUUCUACUAUUGUUUACCACUAUCUGAAUUGUUUUUAUUUCCACCAUGCAGUCUUGCACAAAAGUUGCUGUCGACUUCGUCUCACCUGAAAAUAUAAGGGAAUGCCUCCAGUUAACUGAAGAGUUUCGACAACUUCCAGUGAACCGUAGAGCUAGAGAGGAUAAACUAGAGGUAACUUCUUUCCUGAUACAAAUAUAUUAUGCAUCGAUUACAUUAUUUUAACUUUAUUUCUUCAUCUUUUUUAACAAUGUGGAACAGAUAAAGAAAAUGAUAAUCUAUGCAAUCGAUAAAGCCAUUAUAGACUUGCAAGAGCUAACAAAAUCACAGCACUGAGCUUUGCCGCGGCUACUUCCAACAGGCAGGCAGACACCACAGAUCCAGCAGCAGCACAUUUUUUUAUUCUCUUUUAGAUUUCCAUAAGUACAUACAUUGCCCUCACCCUGUUGUCAUGGCUGCACUAAAGGCUAUCGGCAGCAAUUUUCUCGAAGUUGCCAUUGAAAUAAAAUAAAAGGUUUAAUUAUGAGCACAUCGCCUCUUUGUUCUUGUUUGGUUUUUAUGGAAUUUUUUUACUUGCAUAGUUGCUCUUGGGUUCUGUUUGAAGAAAACAAUGCCUGCAUUACCUCUGCCUACUGCUUGAUAUUUGGCUGGCCACUUCAUGGGCAUGGAAAGAUGUAACGGAUGGGAUCCAUGAUCCAAGAGCUUAAUUCAAAGUUGAAAAAGAAACAUGCUCUCACGUCCAACUUUCCUUAUAAUGGGACAUGAUGCCAGGUAUUCAAGCUUUUGAUUUGUUUUAACUCGUUCAAGCAAAUCUGGAUCUGCAUGAUAAACAAGCAUAACAUUGAGAUUGUGUUUGAUAUUGUGGUAGUUUUUAUGGUUGUGGUUUGAAAAAAGUUGUUUUAUAAAAAGUAUUUUUAGUUGAGAUUGGUUUGAAAAAAAUAAAUGUUUAGUUAAAACUGUAGUUGAAAUUGAGGUUGAAAAAUAAUAAUUUUAAUGUGUUUGGUUAAGAAUGCUUUUGAAAUUGAGGUUAUUAUAUAUAAUAUAUAUAUAUAUAUAUUUUGAUGGUUUUAAUUUAAAUACUGUGGAUUUAACUAUUGCUAUUAUUACAUCAUGAAAUAAAUUACACUUUAUAUAAAAAAAUUACUUUAACAGAAAACUAUCUACAAUUCCAUUACGUACAAAAUUUAUCUGACAAGAACUACAAAAUUAGAUAAAAUAUUAUCAAGAAUAAAAUUAAGAUUACAGUACGAGUAAAUUUAAUUCACCUCAAACUAAUUUUUUUUAAAAAAAUUAUUAUUCAUGUUUACGUGAAUAGUGCAACUAAAAUCAAUUAACCACACUGAUUUUUUAAAAUAAAAAAAAACUGUUCAGUGAACAGUAGAGCAUGGAUCAGGAUUUUAGCCGCGCAGAAAGCAGCUCCUAGCUGCUUUUUUUUUUUCUUAUGUUGCACACCGUGGGAUUCAUAAACAGUGACAAACGUUUGUUAAUUAACCAAACAGCUUGUUGCAUGAAAUCGCAGGAAAUGUGUACACUAUAACGUUGCCAAACGGUUUCUAAAGCUAAGCUGAUAGCAUAUCCAAACUUGUAUACAUUUUCUGAGUAGAUCAACCCAACAAAGACCCGUGUCACAAAUUUUUAUUAAGAAAUUAAUCAAUUUAAGCCAAUCUGACGCGGUCGAUUCUGAACGGCGGCGCUUCGUCUGAUGAUCAUGGAUCGAUUGAGGCCGUUGAGGCUGCGACUCCGGAUGUGGUUGAUGGCGUGUUUUGUGGGAAGAGGAUUACGGUUUUGCCACCGGUGACGGCGAGUGCGGUUGCGGGACUGGUUUCUGGUGUGGAGGUUACGGCGAAGACGAGGCUUCCAGUGAGGAGCAAGGCGGUGGUGAGUUUCCGGUGGGGAGUUCGGGUUCCGGCUGAAAUUAAGAGUGGCGGUGAAUCAACGGCUGGGAUUAAUUUUAGGACGAUACCGGUCUUUGUGAUGAAUAAGAUUGGAAUUGAACACGUGGAUGGUAGGGAUGAGAGGAGUAAGAAGGAGGGGGCGACAAGGAAGGUGGAGAUGGAUUCGGGGAAUGCUGAGGUGGCAGAGGCGUGUUUGGGUGUGGAAAGGCAAUUAGAGGUUUUGCAGAGCGAGAACGGGCAUUUGAGGAAAGCAGUGGAGGAAUUGAGUGAAGAAAUUGGCGGAGGGAAAUUAUUAGUUGGGGAUUUGGAUUCUGGAAAAUACGAGAGAAAUGGAAUUAAAAGCCCCGAGUAGAAAGGAGGAGAAACAAUGAGAGGAAGAAAUCAAUGGAAGGAGAUUGAAGAAGAAGGCAUCUAAUGGAACAGCUACUAGUGGUAAUUUGUCCUCGAAAUUACUGGAUAGUUAUAAUUUGGUGCUUAAUACAUUAAGUUUUUUUUUUCAUAUCAAUUUUUCAGUUUAUUUAGGGUCUUAUGAACUAUGUUUUUUUGGGUUUUGGUUGGUUUAGUCAUGUAAGAUAAAGAUGUAAAUUAAUUAAAAUCAAUUGGGUUAUUAGUGUUUUGGAUAAGGAAUUCGAAAUUAACUGUAAGUUUAAUUUUUUUUUGUUGGUAGUAUUGUUAAGGGGAUGUUCGGGAGAGUUGUAGGAAUUGAUUUUAAAAUUAUUUUUUAUUUAGAAAUGUAAUAAAAUGAUAUAUUUUUUAAAAUUUUUAAAUAUAUCAAACUAAUUUAAAAAUAUAAAAAAUUAUUGAUUUUAAAUAAAAAUAAGUAAAUUUUGCUCAAUUUCUAAAAGAUUUAUUUAUAUGAAUCCCCUGAUUGGCGCAUUCAACAUUUUGAUUUAUCAUAGAGAUGAAAGUUGGAGCUUUAAUUUUGUUUUUACUACUCUCAUUUAACCAUAAUGUUUAAAUUCACUACGCCAUUUGUUAAAUCUCUUAAUAUUAGGGGUGAGUAUUUUCAUACAGAUUGAUUUUGGUUUGGUUUGCUUCGUGGUGCUAAAAAACCAGCAAAUCUGAAAAAAUGACUUAUCAGAUAUCAUCAAGAACAGCAGAAACUAGUUCUCGGCAUCUGAAUCAAUGAACCUUUUGUAAACAUCAAGCAAAUGGAAGGUCUCGUAUCAAUGUUUGAAUGAAUUUUUAAAAAUAGCACUCACUAGAUAGAUACUUCACCGUGAUUUGUUGCAGAUUAAUUUUUUUUUUAUUUAAUAACAAAAAUUAUAUACACAUGUUUUUUUGAUAUAUUUUUGUAAUUAAAAAAAUUCUAAGUCAAAAUUCAAAAAGCUUAUACAGAACUCUCUGGUUCUUAUACAUAGGAUCUCCAAUUGCAGGUUCUGCUGUUGAAAAGCUGCAGGAAAUUAAUGGUUAUGUAAGCAUAGGCUACCCUUUUGGCUUAACUGCUUCAAUUCUGUUUGCGCGACACUCUGAAAUGGAAGGACCUAAUUAUGAUGCUCAGAUGGUGGAUUUAAUUCUGGGUUUCCUUGCAUCUUUGAAGGGAUCAACAGCCUAACCAACCAAAGCAUUUGCACCACUAACUUGUAGAAUCACCAGAAACAUAACAAAGUCAAAGUAAGGUAUUGAGACUUGAACAAUCAUAAAGAAAAUCGUAUGGAUAGAUGAUCCUGUGUAUCAAUCUGCAAUGCUUAAACAUGAAUGGAGAACAUCAUGUUUAGAUCCAAUCCCUUUUUGCCUUCACGUUGACAUUGGUUAACUUUCAUUUUGCUUACAUUUUGAUCUUCAGGAUUGGCGCAUUUAGGUUUGAUUCCAGAAGAAGAAUUUGGGAUAUAGCAUUGAUCAAGGAAAGCGAGGAAAUCGAAACAGUUAGUUAUCAUCACGAACAAGUUUUCACACUUUAGUAUGUCAUCCACGCUAUGUAUACUGUGGAAAACUUACACAGUUUUUUUUUUUUUUGCUUUUCUGGAAUGAGUGUAUGUAUCAACUUUCCGAGAUAUCUCCUGUCUAAUUGUUAGGGUUUAGGAAGUAAGUUUUUCCAGGCAUCAUUGUUUGGUUUAGUCAUGUGAAACGUUGGUGCUAUUAGUUAAAUGCGUCAGCAUGUAUUUGGACUACAGAAAUGAAAGUUCAGGUGAAUAAGUUCAAGCUAUCUCGUUUCACAUCAAAGCUUAAAGCAUCAUAAAUCUACUUGCUGGAGAUUGAAUGGCAAUGUUCUUUUUCAAAAGCAACAUUGCGAAGGAACAAAGAAGGGGAAUUAUCGCACUUGAGGUCUUGGCCCAGCGGUUGAAGGGACUUGUUCCCUUUCUCUGCAUCCUGGGUUCAAACUUCACCGUGCACGUCUAUCACCCCCGCGGUGUCUUACAUGCUCACUGGGUUUGCACGAUGUUCAGUGAGCUGUGGGAUUAGUCGUGGUGCGCGCAAGCUGGCCCGGACACCCACGUAAAUCAAAAAAAAAAGAAAAAAAGAAGGGGAAUUAUCAGUAUAGAUACCAGUAAUGUCAGAUAGGACUUUUGGUGAAAGUGGGGAAAUUUAGAUUUAAAUAAUGAUUUAUACAUUCUAGUUCUUGAAUUGCAAUGAAUUCAUUCAAGAUCUCCUGGAAGGAUUUGAGAGGAAACGGCGAAGCAGAGCUGCCAUGCUCUACCAUUAGAUUUGUACAUGUCAACAUCUUGCUGCAAAUUGUGCUGGAAAAAAAAAAUGGUAAAAACGCACUGUGUUGCUGGAUAGCAGUACAAAUGCAUUAUAAUGUUAAGAUGGCACUUGAGGAAAAUUAUUGGUAGCAAAUUGUGCAUACAGUGGGCAUGGGGUGAAAAACCUUCCAUAGCAUCAUCCUCUUGGUCCUAACAAUUGUUUUGUUCCUGAAAUAACUUGCGAUUCAGGUGUACCUGCUACAGAAACAUUUUCUACAGUAAUUCAAGGCCAUUCCGGAGCUGGCCUUCUGCUUGUUCUGAUCAAAUUUACAGAUUCAAAGUUCAUUGGGUGGUUUGCAGCUUUGUCCUUCAGUCCUGAUGGCAAGUUUACAGUGAAGAGCACUUGGUAGUUUGUGAGAAAGAAGGGACACAGAGUUGACUGGUAGAAGAAACUUCUGUGGGGUUCGCUAAACAUUCCUAGGCAUAGCUUCAUAGCUUUGUACCACGAAUAUUGUCUUAUUUUUUAUUUUGUUUUACACCUCAUUUCUUUUUAGAAAAUAAUUAAGGCUCUUGUUAUAAAUGGAUAAUAUCCCUUAGAUUCAUUAAAGUUCAAUCAUUAUUUAUUGAUGUUGGCUUGUUGAAAUCUACCUUGAUGCAAAUAUUUCAAACAAAAUCAUUAAAUAUAUUUUUGAGCUUCUUUCUUUUUUAUUUUAUAAUUAACCCAACUAGAAUUUCUAAUGGAUAAUUUAGUAUAGUUUAAAUUGUAUUAUAUUAACCUCGCAACGUGUACCAUAUACCAAAUAUCAAAUAUGUUUAAUAGCUUUGUUUAUUAUAAUUAAUGUUUUGUUUAAUAAAAUAAUAUAAAAAAUAUGAAUAGAAGAGCAAUCAAAUAAAAUUAAAAAAAAAUAAAAAUUAUAAGUACAACUACAUAUAAGAAAUGCCUUCUAAUAUAAAAAAAAUAUUAAAUUUUAUUUUUAAACUAAGUAAAAGUUAAAAUAUUCUAUUAAAAAAACAUCAUGAAAUAUUAAAAAAAACAACCAAUAAAAAUACAAAAUUAAAAAAAAAAAAAAAAAAAAACUAAGGUAGCCCAACACAUGAUGAACAUUGUUUUUUUUUUUUUUAGAUCAAACCGGAUCUAGGGUUAAGUAUAAACAUGUGAAUCGUUUAAUUGUAAGAACAAUUAAAAGUCAUGUUCUGAUACCAAAUUUGAUGCGGAACAAUAAAUAAUAGGAAUUAAAGCAAGAAAAAUAAAAACAAUAAGACAUGCUCAAAUGAGCUUAGUCUCUCAACCAAAGUGUGACAGGCUGGGGCAUCCUACUUCGCCUUCGUCUAUAUACUUGUGUAAUUUACAGUGUGGGUCUGGUGUCCCGGCCAUUUAUUUAAAUGCAUUUAUUUAAUAUUAGAUUAUGUUAAGGAAAUAAAAAUUAAAUAUUUGAAUGAAAAUAAUUGAUAUUAGUUAAGAUAAGUGUUAUUUUAUAUGCCAAUAUUUUUAUGCAUUACAUCAAAAUCUAUAACAAAAAUGUAAAAGCAGAAUUUAUGGAGAGCUUCCUGCUAAGCUAAAAAAAUGGUGGAAGGUCAGACAUCUUUGUCACUACGAAGGCUCAAAGAAACAACAAACUACCUUCACAGUUUUAAUAGAAUAUGAUUGAAGAUGAAAUAGCAUCUGAACAAUAUUGUUCAGAAAAAAAUAGCAUCUUUUAUUGUUCAGAAAAAAACAGAGAAACAAAAGAGUGAUCUGAUAUGCGAGAAUAGAAACAGAGAUAAUGAGUAUGAAGCUAACCAUUCACAGUGGAAUAGGGCUACGCCACAAGUUUAGCCAACAAUCCAAUUACCAUAAUGGCAUCCUGCAUUGCCAUCUUUCCCUGUGGACGAUAAAACUGCAGCUAGGAUCAGUACAUUCAAGGGCCAAGUCAUCGCAAGGCUCACCACAAGUAUCGCAUGCCUGCGGACGAUAAUCCUCUGUCUUGACGACCAAAGCAAGAGGGUGAGGGUGUUUAGGAUAUGUGCGAACCCCCCCUGGCUUGACGUAUG